UGAGGAAUAUUGGUCAAUGGACGAGAGUCUGAACCAGCCAAGUAGCGUGAAGGAUGACUGCCCUAUGGGUUGUAAACUUCUUUUAUACGGGAAUAAAGUGAGGCACGUGUGCCUUUUUGUAUGUACCGUAUGAAUAAGGAUCGGCUAACUCCGUGCCAGCAGCCGCGGUAAUACGGAGGAUCCGAGCGUUAUCCGGAUUUAUUGGGUUUAAAGGGAGCGUAGGCGGACGCUUAAGUCAGUUGUGAAAGUUUGCGGCUCAACCGUAAAAUUGCAGUUGAUACUGGGUGUCUUGAGUACAGUAGAGGCAGGCGGAAUUCGUGGUGUAGCGGUGAAAUGCUUAGAUAUCACGAAGAACUCCGAUUGCGAAGGCAGCUUGCUGGACUGUAACUGACGCUGAUGCUCGAAAGUGUGGGUAUCAAACAGGAUUAGAUACCCUGGUAGUCCACACAGUAAACGAUGAAUACUCGCUGUUUGCGAUAUACAGUAAGCGGCCAAGCGAAAGCGUUAAGUAUUCCACCUGGGGAGUACGCCGGCAACGGUGAAACUCAAAGGAAUUGACGGGGGCCCGCACAAGCGGAGGAACAUGUGGUUUAAUUCGAUGAUACGCGAGGAACCUUACCCGGGCUUGAAUUGCAACUGAAUGAUGUGGAGACAUGUCAGCCGCAAGGCAGUUGUGAAGGUGCUGCAUGGUUGUCGUCAGCUCGUGCCGUGAGGUGUCGGCUUAAGUGCCAUAACGAGCGCAACCCUUAUCGAUAGUUACCAUCAGGUUAUGCUGGGGACUCUGUCGAGACUGCCGUCGUAAGAUGUGAGGAAGGUGGGGAUGACGUCAAAUCAGCACGGCCCUUACGUCCGGGGCUACACACGUGUUACAAUGGGGGGUACAGAAGGCAGCUACACGGCGACGUGAUGCUAAUCCCGAAAGCCUCUCUCAGUUCGGAUUGGAGUCUGCAACCCGACUCCAUGAAGCUGGAUUCGCUAGUAAUCGCGCAUCAGCCACGGCGCGGAGAAUACGUUCCC
rnacentral:rRNA from 1 species